rnacentral:lncRNA from 1 species
CCAGAAAUUUUCAUUCACAAUAGAGGUAAAAAAACUCGUGUCACUUCGCUUGUUUCAUUCUUAGCUUAUUCCAAGCUCCUUCAUAUAUUGUGAUACCUACUUUCCUUAAUUUGGCUCCAUUCCAGAUAGUACCUUCCCUUCCCUGGCCCUGCGUUGACUGGUCCAAGUCGUAUCCGCGUAUGGAAACUUAAAACCGUUCCAUUCCAUUGAUAAUAUAUUAACAUUAAUUCAAUACAAUAUAUGAUCUCCAACCUAGCUACCACGUACUGCAUAUAGAUAUAUAGUCACGGAUGAAUUGAUGCCAUGGUGCGAGUAUUCUCAGCUCCAAUGAUUUCUUGCACUUCAUUGCGAACAUUUUUGUUUAAAUAACUCUCCAUCACUUUCUAGGGCUUCAUCCACACUGAUAAACAGAGUCAUAAGAUUUCAGAGAAGAAAAGGUCCAAGUACAUUAAUUAAGAGCUGAAGCUGAUACUUGAAGGUGAUGGAGGGUUGUUUAAACGAGAAUUUUCGAAAUAAAGUUGAAGAAAUUUGUCGGAAGGUUCUCAGGAAAAAGAGUAAAUUAUGACCCAAGGUAACAGCAAGCAAUGGUGGAAAUCUGCAUCGCAUCCCCUUUGGUAUGCAUAUAUAUUUGCAUGAUUUAUAUUGGAUUUAAGUUUAUUAGGGUUGCUGAGUAAUUCUCUACGGACAAAUUUUGUUUCUUCCAUUUGUAAUUGUAAAAAUAUUGCUUUUUGAUCAUUUUUUUACGCCAAAAUUGAUUGGCAUUUUUUUAGGCAAUUGAUUGAUAGAGAUUACUGAUGUUAUUUUACCCCCAAUUUAAUCUGCAUUCCAUCACGUGUAAUAUCUUUCUAACAAUUUUUAAGUUGAAAAAUCCUCUGUCAAGAAAAAAAAGUAGAAAAAUCUUCUUUUGCUUUUCGUUUUGUGUGAUUCAUGAUAUUACGUUUUUCUCACUCUUUCCUUUUGCCUUUUUUUAUAGGUUUAAUUGUAUUUUUGGCCUUCUAAUAUAUUAAAUAUUUUCUUUAUAUUUUUAAUUGUUAAAAUUUCAUCUCUUUAUUAAAAAAAAUUAUUUUAUUUAUUAAACUAUCAUGCAUUUAUUUAAUAGAGAUAUUUACCCAUUUUGUGAAUUUUAAUUUUAAUAUUGUAUAUUUUAAUCAUUUAUGUUUAAGUGUUUUUUUGUCAUUUAGGUUUGAAAAUUCUCAUUUUGAUAUUAUAUGUUUUUAAAGGAUUUCAUUUCCAUCAUUUUUAAGGUAAACAUUAUAUAUGUUAAUAUAAAAAAUGUGAUGUAGUUGUUAAUACGGAUUGAGAUAAUGAUAUGCCAUAUUGAUUGAAAUGACAUAGUUUCAAAUUAUGUUAUUUUGAUUUUUUAAGAUUUUAAAAUGAUUUCAAUUCAAUUGAUUAAUCCUUUAAAUGGUUUUAUUUUAGUUUUAUUUCCAAUUGUUUAUGCUUCCUUGACGUUCUUUGAUAAAAUAUGCAAAAAAAAAAAAAAAACAAAAAACAAAAAAAAUAUAAUACUCUGGAAAAAAAUUGAAUGGUAAAGUAGAAUAAUGAUAGUCAGAUAGUAAAAUUGCAAUUAAACAAAAAAUAUAUAUAUGAACUAAAAUAAAUCCAAGAUCAUUUACAGAAAUUAAAAAGACACUUAAACUAAAAAUAUAUUUGUAUUUCAAUAAGAAUUUUCUUAGAUGAUUACCAAUUAUUUAUUUGUUUUGCAAAAUAAAAAUAAAUCUUGUUAGAUUUCUUAAUUUAAAUCUACUAUAAGUUUGAAACCAAAUAUAUAUUUUAUUAUUAAUUAAUUUUAAUAUAAAUAUAUUACUAUAUUAUUAGUUAGGAUCUUAAAAUAAUGAUUUUUUGACAAAUUUAAAUGAUGAUUUAUUAUUGUAAUUAAAUAAAUUAUUUUUUUCAAUGUUUUGAUCACUUGGUAAUUGAUUCCGUAAUUAUUGUGAUUAUAAAAAAGAUUCCAUAAAACUAAUUAAUUGGUUGUUCUAUAAUAUAAAAUAAAAAAAAAUAUGUAAAAAUAAUAGUUUAAUUUAUUGAUUCAACCAAAAUAUAUAUUUGUUGCAAUUACCUUAAUUACUAUACUUAUACUUUUUAUGAAUUAAAAAAAUAGUGAUAUUUGUCAGUAAAGAAAUAAUACGGUGUCGCCAAAUGACAAAACCUUUUUUUAAUAAUAGAUGAUAAUAAAUAAUGAAUAGAUAAUAUAUAAUAUUAUUUUUUUGUUGAUUAUUUCCAAUUUGGUUCAAUUCUAUUCGAUUUAUUAGGCUGAACCAAACCAUGGACAAGAUUAAAUACGUGUUCACAUAAAUUAAAAUGAUAUAAUGAAUAUGAGAAUAUAAAAUUACAUAAUAUAAAUUAAUAUUCACAAAUAUUUAUAAGAUAUAUGUAUAUUUUUAAAAUUAAAAAUUGUAUAAUUAACACCCAUAGAAGACAUGGAUAUAUACUUGUAUUUUACAAACUCCUACAGUAGGCGAAUACAACCCUAGUUUCUUUUUUUUUUUUUUUUGGAAAGCAAAAUCAAUAUAUCUAUCAUAAAUAUAUAAGUUGAAUAACCUUGGUACAAGAUGUAUCAAGAUCAAACAUAUUACAGCAAUCAAAAUCCGCGAUCCCUCAAUAAAUAGCCAGAAGAAUUGGCAAGCUUACCAGUAUCGUAUGUACCUGCAUUUAAUGUACCCGUGUGACACACCCAAAACCAACUGUAAAUGAUUACAGAAUAUUUAAUGAUAUGUCACUAAAUAUUGUACAACCCUAGUUACUAGUAUUAAAAGGUUAUCCACAAAAUGAUCUUGAAACAAGUUCAUCGAAAAUCUCAAACUGUAACUUCUCAUUAUCGUGUGUCCCAAAUGAAUCUGAAAUUUAAUUUAGACUUGAUAAAAAAAGUUAAUAUUUUGAAAAGCUCAAUAAAACUUUGUAUAAAAAUAUUGAAUUGUAUGUACACGAUAAUAUUAGUUUACGUUUGAUAUACACUUUUAUUAGUAUUAGACGAGAUAAAAUUUAAUUUUUAUUAUAAAAAUAUUUAUUUAAACAUAUAUUAUAUUCAUGUAACUUUGUUAUAUUGCCUUAAUUUUGAAAAAUAAAAAUAUGCAUAAAAAUUAAAAUAAAUAUGACCAUUAUAUUAUUUAUAAAUUAAAAUGACCUAACGUAAAUUAAUUUUAUUAUAAUAAUUCACGUAACAUAUUACUUUUACACUGAAUAGUAUUUAUUAUUUUUAAUUAUUAAUUAAAAUAUAUUAAAAUGGAGUAUAUUUUUAUUUUCCCCCGUGGUCAAGGAAGGAGAAGGUCAUCACUGAAGCGGAUAGCGAAUGUUGGUUGGAGAAGUCAACGCCAUCAACAAUAAGAAGCUAGACCAAUCUGAAUUCGGGUUCAUCAUUUCUCAGGGGCUGUAACAUGUUGAAAAAUUCAUCAAACUAUAGUGUUUCUUUUGUUCGGAGACAAAUAAAUUUUAUCGUUCAUAGCCUGGCUAGAAAGACAAUUUUCUAUGUUCCUUCCCAUCACUUUAGUGAUACUUUCAAUUGUAUUGAUGCACAAAUUUCUUUGAAAAUAAUACGAGGUAAUUUACAUUAAAAACAAAAAGUAUUGAGUACAUUUAUAUUUGACUAAUUGAUAAUGUGUUACCCUUUUGCGUUGUUUCUUCAUCUCCACGACAUUAUAGGAUGCUGACCUUAGAUCCAUGAGUCUCCGUUUUUUUGUAAACACGGCUAUGAGAAAUUGAAAGGAAAGAAAUAGAACCUCGGAUCUUCUCUGAAAUCCCAGUCAAGCACAAUCUUUGUUGUUUGUAAAGCCCUGAAAGUCAUGUCAUUCAUAAGAAGAUAAGAAGUAUUUACUUGUACUUUUUUUUAACUAAAUUAUUUAGUAUCUCUGGUUUCUAAGUGUCACUCGAGAUAUUAGGAGAAGUUUUGAUUUUUUGGAUCGAUUAUAAAAUUAAUUUUUAGCUUCAGGCUUAAUCACA